CGGAGGGGCUAGCGUUGUUCGGAAUUACUGGGCGUAAAGCGCACGUAGGCGGACCAGAAAGUUGGGGGUGAAAUCCCGGGGCUCAACCUCGGAACUGCCUUCAAAACUAUUGGUCUGGAGUUCGAGAGAGGUGAGUGGAAUUCCGAGUGUAGAGGUGAAAUUCGUAGAUAUUCGGAGGAACACCAGUGGCGAAGGCGGCUCACUGGCUCGAUACUGACGCUGAGGUGCGAAAGCGUGGGGAGCAAACAGGAUU
rnacentral:rRNA from 1 species